rnacentral:tRNA from 1 species
UUAAUUGAAGCCAAAAUAGCGGCUUAUCACUGUUAAUGAUACCACUGAAUUUUUUAUUCCAAUUAAG